CCAUAGAACCAAUCAUGUCCGGGUAGCAAGCCACGCCCCUUAGCAACCCGCAACUCAAAGCCCCGCCCCUUAGCAACCACGCAGCAGCGCGGUGCACGCUGGGAUAUACACCCCUCCAUGCAUCCCUUAUGGGGGCGGCCAUUUUGAGGGCGGUGCCGCCAUCUUGAGGGCGUCGCCGCCGUUUUUCCCCACCUCGCCCCGCUUUUCUUUGUUUUGCCCAAUUUUGUCCCAAUUUUGCCCUAUUUUUCCCCUAAUUACGCCAGUUUACUCCAGUGUUCCCCGUGCUGCUCCAACUUCUUAUCAUUUUGCUCCAAUUUUUCCCCUUUUUCCACAGUUCUGCCCUAUUUUGUCCUAAUUUUGCCCCAUUUCUCCCCCAAUUGCCUCCAAUUUUCCUUAUUUUUCCAAUUUCUCCCAAUUUUUCCCCGUUUUUCCCCAGUUUCUCCCAUUUGCUCCGAAUUUUGCCUCGAUUUUUCCCAAUUUUCCGCUAAUNNNNNNNNNNNNNNNNNNNNNNUUUUCCCCCCAAUUUUACCCCAUUCUGUCCUGAUUUACCCAUUACUCCCAAUCACCCCCAUUUUUGCCUCUUUUCCCAAUUCUUCCCCAAUUUGCCCCAAUUUUUUCCCUAUUUUUCCAAUUUUUUCACCAACUUACCCCAAUUUUUCACCUUUUUUCCCCAAUUCUUCUCCCAUUCCCUCAUUUUGCCCCCAUUUUUCCACAAUUUCCUGGGCCUCGCUGCCAUUUGUGGGCCCUGUCGCCAUUUUGAAGGCACCGCCGCCAUUUUUUUCCCCAUUCCCGCCAUUCUGUGGGCGUGGCUGCCAGUUUGAUGGCACCGCCGCCAUUUUUUUUGCCCUUCCCGCCAUUUUGAGGGCGUGGCCGCCAUUUUUCCCCCAUUCCCGCCAUUUUGAGGGCGCGGCCGCCAUUUUUUCCCCAUUCCCGCCAUUUUGAGGGCGCGGCCGCCAUUUUUCCCCCAUUCCCGCCAUUUUGUGUGCACCGCCGCCAUCUUGAAAGCCUGGAAAAAACACGCUUGCGAGCCACAAAAACCUCUUUAUUCUCCUCCUCACCCCUCCGUUCCCCCUUUUUGCCCCUCUACUCCUCCCUUCUGCCCUUCCAUCACCAUUUCAGACCCUGCUUUUUGCCCCUCCCCCUUUUCC
rnacentral:lncRNA from 1 species